GUUGCAGCAGACUCCGGUACGUGGGUAAGACGGAAGGUGCCAGCGUUAAUCGUAAAUACCAGGCGUGAUGCGCGCCUAGGCGGUCAUGUACGUCAGAUGCGAACUCCCCGGGCAUAACCCGUGAACUGCAUCUGAGACUGCUUGAAUAGAGUUUGGCAGUGGCAAGUCGAAUUCCGGGUGUGGCGGUGAAAUGCGUAGAUAUCCGGAGUAACACCAGUGGCGACGGCGACUAGCUGGCCUACAACUGACGCUGAGGUGCGAAAGCGUGGUGAACAAACAGGAUUAGAUACCCGUGUAGUC
rnacentral:rRNA from 1 species